GUCCCCGCGAGGCGGGGUCUGAAGGAAGCUGGAGGCAAAGUCCUGGCCCGACGAACAGGAACCGCAUACGAGGCGCCGAGACCCUGGGCGAGGGGGCAUGGAGACCCGAAGCCCGAUGUCACCCGGAGGGCCUGGGCGUAGAUGCGGCGGGCGCUGUCCAACGCCGCCGUC
rnacentral:ncRNA from 1 species